CAUGGGUUCCAAUUUCCAAGUUUCGUUGGUUGCCGAACCUUGAUUUUUGUGUUUUACAGUGCUUUACCAUGGUCUAAGAUUAGAUAAGAUAGUUGUAAUCUAUGGCUGGUCUCUGGCUCUACUGGCGCUCUAAACAUCUCACGUGGAAACGCCAUUAGUGACCUGGCGCCAAAACUAAAACUGAUUAAAAGUCGUCAGAACGAUCACGUUUUGAUUAAAGGUCAUUUCUACCUGCUCGAGUUCUCUAUAAUUAAUAUACUAAGGAGUAAAAUCAAACAAGCACACACAAACAGACAGAAUGGCUGGAUUAGGUGAAGAGCAAAAGCUUCAAAUGCCUUGUGUGUAUUGUUUGUUUUGUGAGCCCUAAUACAGUAGGCGAAUAGCACUGAUACAAUGCUGCGAUGAAAAAUUGAUGGCACUGUCAGAAAGAAAUAACAAUUAAAAAAUAAUAAGAUAUGCAAAGAUAAUAAGUUCAUCAUUUAAUGUUAAAAGAAGUGGAGGGAUUGCGAUUGCAACAGUAUUAUAAGUAUUUCAAAGGUUUUCUAAAAUUUACAUUGAACAAAAUAUAAAAUAAUAUUUAAAGAAAUGUUUGUUUUUACUUAGGAUGCAGCAAGAGUAGCAGCAAUGAAUGGUGGUGAGGCCAAGUGAACAUACAUAGCUGAAUUUUUUGGAGAAAAUGAUUGGAACAAAACUGUGGGGUAACACAAUAUAGAUGAAGAGAAUAUUAUUGAGAAUAUGGUAGGUAUCGCUACUUAAUAUAUGAGCACUUUCAACUUGUAGGCUACAUUUGGUUGCCACAGCUGUUUAACCAAAACCAGGGCACAUCGUGGAAUAUAUAGCAAAGAAAUAUUUAGUAUAGAAAAUUAAACGGAGACGCGAAAAACAUUAAAUGGUGAACUAUGAUAAUAGUACUGCAAACAAGUUUAACUAAUUUUUUCUGGUGUUUUGCAAUUUUUUGAUAUUUCAGUCUGAACAAAACAUUAAGGUGAAAGAUGUGAGGCUAAUUCACUAAAGAAACUAAGAAAAGGGGAAAAUGGGAUGAGAGGGUGCCAUAACAUAACAGAUGGUUACAAUCUUGGAAGAUAAUCAGGUCGUUAUUUGCAAAACAGCCCGAAUGUCUUCAAUUUUAAAAUAAAAAAACAAAAACAAAAUUGCACCGACUUAACACACAGUCGAGCACGUAUCAUCAGAAGAGAUUACAAGCUUGGAAGAUGGCCAUGAUGGCAGCACUCAAACCACCAGCGAUGGGUACUGUAACCGCCCAGGCAAAGAUGAUAUUUCGGAAGAGAGCCCAAU